UGCAAGUCUAGGUCUCUGCUUCCCGCUCAGGUUCCUGAUGCUAACCAGCCUUAGCCUAUUGCCUUGUUGCUCUCUACCACUAAGCAGGAUUCACUGACUCACUAUGCUAAUGUAUACGGGAUAAUAGAUUUGAAGGAAACGGGCAGAAAGUUAAGUCAGAUAAAACAGAAGCCUAGAAUUUACAGACUGGCUUUGCUAAGAGGUUUGAAAAUUGUGUUUUUAUCAAUUUUGUUCUCCCAUGGCAUUGAGCAAGCUCCGGUGGUCUCUGCUCUGUUGAUGGAAACAAAGGAGGGCAUCAUGUUACAUCAUCCCUUAAGUCACAGGAUAAAAAGAUCGUCAAUGUCUCCCUGAGGCCAGGAGGUGGCUGAAAAACAGGAAGGGAAGGGGCCUCAUGGGGAAGACCCUGUACGACCUGGCAGGGUGGAGAAACCAGCACUGGAUAUCCUGUACUAAUGGGAAGCCUUUACACGACAGUCACAUCCUGAAUAAGAGUGAGGUACUGUGGACUUGUCCAGAUCCUGCAGCUUUAGCUUUUUUUACGUUUGCCUGGGACCCUUGUAUGCCUUAUUAUAAUCUGCUUUCAGUAUUAAAGCUCUGUUCUAGGACUUUUCUCUGUCUGACUGAUUGCUGCUUUUAUCAGCUCUAAUUAAUGAUGCAUGAUGGUGUUUCAAACUGUUUCCAUAAAGCUUUCCCAGUCUUUAGCACCCAGAAAGUAAAAUGCAGCCACUUUAUGGAAUAUGACUUUAAUUAACCCAAGUGAUCUCACAUCAAUCACCCUGAUUUUCUUCAGAUUGUCCGGGUGAGGACAUCUCUAGUAAUUUACUGCUUUUGGAAACCUACACUCUCUUAGACAUGUUUCUAGUUGGUCUUUAUAAAACCCCCUGUACCUGUGUCUUGGGAAUAUACAACACACCUGCUGGCAGGAGCUUCAAAAGUAGAGUCAAGUGUAUGAGACACAAGCCUGGGACAAGAAUCACCUCAGCUCCGAAGAGCAGAUGACAGAAUGGUUUCAUCACCAAUACCCUCUGACAUCUGAAACAAGGUCUAAAGAUAAAAUCCAGGGAAGAACAUGUUGCCAAUUCCUUUGGGCCCAUCCACCAUUAAAUCCGCUAUUCCUGAGCUUAGCUGUACACUUGCUCUGCCACAACUGUGAUUUAUCAAGAAAGAAGCAAAACAGCAGAAACACCUAAGCUGCUAAUAUGUAGGCAAUCACUUCUCAUCAGGAGUGAAUCCUCUGGGAAAUAACUACACGUCUCCCAGAGGCACAGGCAAUGAUUCAGCAAACUAAAGAAGCCAGAAAAGCAAUAUUAAGAAAGCAAAAAAUCAUUAGAAACUCAGGGAGAAAAUAUAACUUUGCAUGGUACUUACCUAAGCAAUUUAAAGGCACAAAAAGAUAAUUGGCAUGAAGUACUGAGAUAGAACAAAGAAACAAACACAUCCAAUCCAGAAAAGGUAUGGUUUUUGAGAAUUACUUUUAAACAACAGCAAUAACAACCACCAUUACCACCAAAACAAACAAACAAAGGCUAUCUGGAUUAUUUUGUCAAUUGUCCUAGUUGGAAAUGAUCAGUGCAAAUUCUUAAUUUUCACAGAAUUAAAAUUGGCAUCCAUCUGGGGCAUAGGGGCCUGUUGUUCAAAAUACGAUA
rnacentral:lncRNA from 1 species